ACACGGAGGGUGCGAGCGUUGUUCGGAAUCACUGGGCGUAAAGCGGGUGUAGGCGGUCUAGCAAGUCAGAUGUGAAAGUCCAGGGCUCAACCCUGGAAGUGCAUCUGAAACUGUUAGACUUGAGUACUGGAGAGGGAAGUGGAAUUCCUGGUGUAGGGGUGAAAUCCGUAGAUAUCAGGAGGAACACCGGUGGCGAAGGCGACUUCCUGGACAGAUACUGACGCUCAGACCCGAAAGCGUGGGGAGCAAACAGAAUUAGAAACCCUAGUAGUCC
rnacentral:rRNA from 1 species